CUUGAAGCUACUAAGAGUCCAUGGUGGAUGCCUUGGCGCUAGACGGCGAUGAAGGACGUGGUAAGCUGCGAUAAGCCCCGGGGAGUUGCAAACAAAUGUCGAU
rnacentral:rRNA from 1 species